rfam:Dipodomys ordii contig_79066, whole genome shotgun sequence.
GGUGGCUCAGUGGUAGAGUGCUUGCCUUGCAUGCAUAAGACCCUGGGUUCGAUUCCUCAGCACCA